AUAGUGUUUGCAUUUUGGUAUUGACUUUAGCUGCUGCCAGGUAUUGAGUAUAGGACAAAUGAAGAAAAUGCCUGACUCUUUGCUUUAACUCAUCCCUCAGGAGAAGAUGGCUCAUGCCCUCUAGACCUUGGCAAGAUUGUAGCUUCUUCUUUUCCUACCAGUCCCAGUAGGAAUUUGCAUGUUCCUAGAAGCUGAAUUAGUAAUUUAAAACAAGCAGUGUGAUGGUUGAAGCUUGGAGUAGAGUCCAUUAUGCGUUGAAAAGAAUUCCCAGCUGUGUUUUCACUAGUUCCUGAUCCCAGCUGCAGCAGUGCUCAAGGCACUCCAUUUCUUAAGCCCUAUGUGUAUGUGUGUAUAUAUAUUCACAUCAGUGCGUAUGAGUGCAUGACUUUGAAGCAGCUGGAAAUCCCUGAACCUUAGAGAUGAAUUAAUUUUCUUUUUGAGACAGACCCUAGUAUCUACAGGUACAAGGUAAAUACAUCACACUUCUCUGUUUAUUAAGUUGUAAAGAUUCUCAGCAGGAUUUCAAACAUUAGGGGCAUCAAAAGAAAUCAAAGGCAUAGGUCUUUAUGUCAAAGCAGGUAAGGGCAUGGGAACAAAAAUUAAUUCAAAGUAGAUCGAGGAAUAUUGCAUACAUAGGGGAAAAAAGAGCAAUGAGGUUUGAAGUAGAUUCAAGGUUACUGUAUAAAAGGCCUCCUUCUCUUUGGCUUGGAAUAACAGAGUAAGUCUGAAUUUCCUCCUUUCUAGGGGAACUGAUUCUUAUAAAUAUAUAUGGAUUUUUCUCUUAAGGUUGUACAUAAGCAAGGGAGAACUAAUUACACUGAAAUAAAGAGGAGAAUUUGGAAGUGAGAUGUAAAGAGAAGUCAAUGCUUUUCUAAACAUAUAAGAAAAUUAAAACUUUGAGUAUCCAUCACUUUUCACUGGAUUAACAGCCAGUGAAGCUCAAGAGCCUGAUCUGAAGACCAAGUCAGGGUUAAAGGAAUGCUGUCUCUGGCUUUUCUAGACCUUAUUUAUCUGAUACCAGUAAAGUCCAUGAUUUAUUGCUUUGGUCACAGAGUGUAAUCAGUCAACAUAAAAGCAUCUAAUCCAAUAUCCCCAUCAUCAAACAUGAUGCCAUUUGUAUCCUGAACUGUAGUCUUCAUCAUUUGACACUGACCAUAACCCAUGGUGGGUUUCUUACUGCCUUAUCAAAUGACCUCAGGUUUCUGUACCAAGCAUUAAAUGCCUAUUUUCCCUAGACCUUGGGCUUAAUUUUUGCCCUCUUUGUUUACUGGCUCACCCAAAGUCAUCAUUAUCUGUCAGUUUAGCAGCUUUUGAACCAUCCUCCAUUGGAUCAUUCGCAUCCUCCUUGAAAAUCCCACUACAUGAAAGGCGUCUUAACACUAAAAGAACAAAUAACAAACUCCUCAACAAAUAACAAGGAAAAAUCAUAACAAAGGUGAAAAUGACCAAAUGCCUCAAUGUCCUCAAAAAACCUGGGCAGGAUGGAAGAGGAAGAAAGCAGUUUGGAAAGGCAUUGUGCCUAGAAAGACAGGGACAAUGUUUCAGCCUUAAUUACCCACAAUUUUCUCUGCAUUCAUUAUGCUCAUUCACAAGCCUAGUGUUAUUUUGAUGUCAUUAUUCUGUGGAUGGCCUUGUUUUUAUUUUUUAGAAUAUAAGAAAGGGACAAAAAGAAUUUCAUUGUGAGUCUGUCAGGCAAACUAUUCUCUUCUCAGAGGAAGAGAGUGGUUGAAUCUGUGUCAGCAGAACUAUUCAUUACACACAAUUUCCCCAGAGCAAGAAAACCAAUGUCCAGGGUGUGACUUGCCAUCACCCUUGUCUUCAGUAUUGACAGGGGGGUCAAACUUGAGGUCUGAUUCCUGAGUCCGUGUUGAGCCACAAUUCCUUGGCAGCAAUUUUAUGGUGAAAGGAAAACAUGACUAGGAUUUAGAGCUCCGUUGAAGGUCAAAAGGAGCACCUUCACAUGACAAGCUUCCUAUGAAAAGCCCAGGACACCAGCAAAAUCAAAGCUAUUUGUUAAGGGAUAUCAGGCAGUUAAGAGCAUCCAUUAAGCACUGUUUGUAGAGAAUUUAGGGAAUUAAAAUGAAAUAGAAGAUGCAGCCCUUUUCUUUUAGGAGUGUGAAAUCUAUUGGAAGGGAUAAAAGACACAGGCAAAAAAAAAUGGGACAGUUAUAAAUGAAAAUAGAUAGAAACACUUACAGGACAGCAGCUGAAAGAUGCAAAGAUGGUCACUGUUAAUUGGACAUGUACAGAGAUAUAUACAGUUGGUUGGGCUAAAACAGCCUGGGGGUGG
ensembl:lncRNA